rnacentral:lncRNA from 1 species
GGAGGGAAAGUUAAACCUCAGGGCCUCUGCUUUGCAAUUCUGAUUCCCAGUCCUGAAACUGGAGAGUGCCUCCUGGGGCUAUCUGCCCAGGCUCCUGAGCACUUACUUUCCACAGUUUAUAGAACUUUCAUCUUAAGGGCACUCAGCCAAAUGUGCAGCCACCAAACUGCCCCUCCAAGGUGCACUCUCAUAUACAUGACUGGAAAAGUCUCAAGCAUCAAGGAUCAAUGCUCCAGAUUUCUCCCAGGGAUGCCUGGCUCCCACGGGUUCCACGGGGAUAUUAAAAAUCUUCCACCCGUCACGCUGACUUCCCCAUCGACACCUGCCUGGAAGAAGCCAUCUAGCGUGCACCUCUGCACCAGAUCCAAGCCAAGUCAGCCUUGCCAGAGCAGCUGGCUGUGCAGACACCCGUCUGUGUUCAAGCUGCAGGAGUAGGAGCAGGCCCUCAGGAUUUUCACAAAAUGGACGGUGGCAGCAUCAAUGCCACAAGGAACUCUGAGCAGUCUGAGGACGCCACCCAGCACAGCAACACAGCCAUUACGUUCUAAGUCAUGCCGAAUCACUUCCAAGGAAAGGCUGAUCUGUCUCCCGAUAGUGUCUCCUCCCGCUAACGUGAUAGGACUUGGCUAACUGGCAGGAAUCGGAACAGGACCGUGCUGGAAUAGAAAGAGGCCCACAGCAUGCACGACCUCACGAUUGGAUUUUAUUCUCACUCACAGCUGUCCUGAGAUGAUGGUGGUCUAAAGUCUCUGCCUGACCUCAAAGUCUUCCAGGGAACCCAGUGUGAGCAGAGCAAGCCCUGCUUGCUGCACUCAGAAACAGGAUGCUGACAGUUCUGCUCCCAUAACUAUAAAGGACCUCACAGAUGUGCACCGAUUUUCCUUUCCACCUGAGCCAGAAGGCUGGAUGAACUAACCGCCCCCACGGAGUGCCCUCUGGCCGGCCGCACUGGCUUUCAGAUAACUUUGCCCAGCACUCUGUGCUCUCAAAUCUGGGUCUCCGGCUACAAUGAAAAAGACCCCGGUUUUCAUCAGGUUCCUUUAAACACAGACUCCACUGCCUUAGUUUUUGAGGGAUGAGCACUUGGGGGUGGAAGCCGCAGGAGCCUAGAUGUGUGAACGUGCACGGGGAAAGCAGAGACCCGUAUUUAGAGAUGAAAUAUUCACUGGGACCGGCCAUGUUUUAAAAUGAUUAUAAAUUAUUUUAACAGUGCAUUUGCAAAGGGUUAUAAAAACAGCCAUAAUAUAUUUUUUUCCUUAGAUUCUAGAAUUACCAGUAUGACAGCUAAUGCAAUAAUGAUUUGUUUCAAAUGCCAGUGUUUAAGCUGCAUAAAGCUGAUUUCAGACAUUUUUUCCAGUAGGCCACAUUGUACUUAAUGAAAUUAAACACACCAAUCGCAUUUGUCCCCAGGGGACGAGGAACUGAACACACCACUGGUUUAUUUUUUUAUUAAAAUAAAUUGCAGCCGGCAAGAUGGACUAAUUGCAUACAGAAUUUAAAAAGAAACAUUCCAUUGAUAUAAUUAAGCCAAUUUUCACGGACAGAAAUAGUUAUAGUGGAUAUAAAAUAAGCAAAGCUUUCACUUCACCAGAAUCUGCCUUCCCUUCCCCCCCCUUUUUUUUUACACAAAAUGUUAACUAUUAAACAAAUAUGUAUCUC